rnacentral:rRNA from 1 species
AGAGUUUGAUCCUGGCUCAGAUUGAACGCUGGCGGUAUGCUUAACGCAUGCAAGUCGAACGGUAACAGCAGAGCUUGCUCUGGCUGACGAGUGGCGGACGGGUGCGUAACGCGUGGGAAUUUACCUUGUAGUGGGGGAUAGCCCGGAGAAAUCCGGAUUAACACCGCAUAAUCUCUACGGAGGAAAAGGGGCCUCUUCUUGAAAGCUCCUGCUAUUAGAUGAGCCCGCGUUGGAUUAGCUAGUUGGUAGGGUAAUGGCCUACCAAGGCGACGAUCCAUAGCUGGUUUGAGAGGAUGAUCAGCCACACUGGGACUGAGACACGGCCCAGACUCCUACGGGAGGCAGCAGUGGGGAAUAUUGGACAAUGGGCGCAAGCCUGAUCCAGCAAUACCGCGUGUGUGGAGAAGGCCUGAGGGUUGUAAAGCACUUUCAAUAGAGACGAAAAGCCUGGGAUUAAUACUUCCGGGUCUUGACUUAACCUAUAGAAGAAGCACCGGCUAACUCCGUGCCAGCAGCCGCGGUAAUACGGAGGGUGCAAGCGUUAAUCGGAAUUACUGGGCGUAAAGCGCUCGUAGGCGGCUUGUUAAGUCGGAUGUGAAAGCCCCGGGCUCAACCUGGGAACUGCAUUCGAUACUGGCAAGCUAGAGUAUAGUAGAGGCAAGUGGAAUUUCGGGUGUAGCGGUGAAAUGCGUAGAUAUCCGAAGGAACAUCAGUGGCGAAGGCGACUUGCUGGACUAAUACUGACGCUGAGGAGCGAAAGCGUGGGGAGCAAACGGGAUUAGAUACCCCGGUAGUCCACGCCGUAAACGAUGUCAACUAGCCGUUGGGGGGCUUAGUCCCUUUAGUGGCGCAGCUAACGGCAUUAAGUUGACCGCCCUGGGGAGUACGGUCGCAAGACUAUAAACUCAAAGGAAUUGACGGUGCGCCCGCACAAGCGGU